rnacentral:rRNA from 1 species
GGCUGUCGUCAGCUCGUGGCGUGAGAUGUUGGGUUAAGUCCCGUAACGAGCGCAACCCUUGUCCUUAGUUACCAGCACGUUAUGGUGGGCACUCUAAGGAGACUGCCGGUGACAAACCGGAGGAAGGUGGGGAUGACGUCAAGUCAUCAUGGCCCUUACGACCAGGGCUACACACGUGCUACAAUGGCCGGUACAGAGAGCAGCCACGUCG